ACGCUCGACACCUACGGGAGGCAGCAGUGGGGAAUAUUGCACAAUGGGGGAAACCCUGAUGCAGCGACGCCGCGUGAAGGAAGAAGUAUCUCGGUAUGUAAACUUCUAUCAGCAGGGAAGAAAAUGACGGUACCUGACUAAGAAGCCCCGGCUAACUACGUGCCUGCAGCCGCGGUAAUCUGAGCGGGCUGGCAAGGC
rnacentral:rRNA from 1 species